rnacentral:rRNA from 1 species
GAUGAACGCUGGCGGCGUGCUUAACACAUGCAAGUCGAACGAAGCUGCUUAAAGGAAGUUUUCGGAUGGAAUUUAGGUAGACUUAGUGGCGGACGGGUGAGUAACGCGUGGAUAACCUGCCUUAUACAGGGGGAUAACGGAGAGAAAUUUCCGCUAACACCGCAUAAGACCACAGCACCGCAUGGUGCAGGGGUAAAAUAUUUAUAGGUAUAAGAUGGAUCCGCGUCCGAUUAGCUGGUUGGUGAGGUAGAGGCUCACCAAGGCGACGAUCGGUAGCCGGCCUGAGAGGGUGAACGGCCACAUUGGGACUGAGACACGGCCCAAGCUCCUACGGGAGGCAGCAGUGGGGAAUAUUGGACAAUGGGGGAAACCCUGAUCCAGCGACGCCGCGUGAGUGAAGAAGUAUUUCGGUAUGUAAAGCUCUAUCAGCAGGGAAGAAAAUGACG